AUACGGAGGAUCCGAGCGUUAUCCGGAUUUAUUGGGUUUAAAGGGUGUGCAGGCGGCCAUUUAAGUCAGCGGUUAAAUCGUGGGGCUCAACCCCAUUCUGCCGUUGAUACUGGGUGGCUUGAUUGCGGUCGAGGUUGGCGGAAUUCGUUGUGUAGCGGUGAAAUGCAUAGAUAUGACGAAGAACACCGAUUGCGUAGGCAGCUGACCAGACCGCAAAUGACGCUCAUGCACGAAAGUGCGGGGAUCGAACAGGAUUAGAUACCCUGGUAGUCCGCACAGUAAACGAUGAAUACUUGUUUUCGGCGAUAUAAUGUCGGAGGCAAAGCGAAAGCGAUAAGUAUUCCACCUGGGGAGUACGCCGGCAACGGUGAAACUUAAAGGAAUUGACGGGG
rnacentral:rRNA from 1 species